GACGCACGGGACUUAAAAUCCCGGGAGCCUCGCGGCUCGUGAGGGUUCGAUUCCCUCCCUCGGCACCA
rnacentral:tRNA from 1 species